GGAAAAGAAAAUGUGCAAAACAGUGCAAGAAGCAGCAUCUCCUCCGCUGCAGAGUCUUCUCUCAGCAGACAGGCAGGCUGCACGCUCACAUUGGAAACUGCAAAACAAAGAAGAGAAACUCACAGGCACACAUUCUGGAGUGCCUAAGGACUAUUUCUGUUCCUGCCAACCUGCUCCCAGCCAGCACAAUAACGAAGGCAUGCUGCUGUGGAAGGUCCCAUACAUGCCACCGCGUUUUGCAGAUGGGGCAUUUGCCAUCGCAGUUUCAUAUCCUGCCAUUUUUCUGCCUGGUUCAUCCAUGUUCUAGAGUACAAGAAAGUGAGAAUACUGUGGAAGUAAAUCUUCACCUGUGGUAGAUUGCUAGUUAAACUGGUUAAGCACUGGUCUGAUUUUGUAAGUUGUUCCACAUGAGCAAGUGGAGGGGCUGCAGCCAGCAGGGAGCGAGGCUUGGCUGCAUGUGGUGGUGGGGGCUUUCCUGCAGGGUGACAAGUCUGAGGCCUGAAUUUCUCAAGAAUAAAUUUCCUUCUCACCAUUCCUAUAUGGGCUCUAGAAAGUGUGUGGUGGCUGUUUUCUGAGAGGAGCUUUACUGACAGUUGGGAGUUGUCAGUAACCAUGUGGAUUUCAAGCUCUCAGUCUGGCUACGAUGCGAAAAACCCUCUGACACAGAAUUUCCACAGAGCCACAGAAUAUGAGGCUGGAAAGACCCAGAGUGCUCAUGCAGCUAACCUCCCACCUAGCCAACCCAGAGCUGUUUGAACCUGACCUGCACGGAAUUUAGUGUUCUCCAAAUCAAGCCAUCUGCACAUAAUGACAUCAGAAGAUGAAGUUCUGUUUGCCACAGAGAACUGCAUUUGCACCCCAGAAUGCUACAGCUGUGAAGGUGGAAGGUAUUAGAGCACCAUGUGAGCAAAUCUUUGUGCUAAUGAAAGUACUGCACCAACAUUAACAUCAGGCUGAACAAGCAGAAUUUUUUUCUUUAUUAGUUAAUACCCCAAAGCCCCAAACAAUCACUAAAAGAAUAGACUCUUUUGAAUGAAAGUCACACAUUAACUUUACGUUUUAUGUUUUCUCCCGCACCAGCUGAAGGUUUGUUGUUGUUGUUUUUUUUUUUUUCUUUUCCCAUUAAUUCCUUUGACCAUGUUUUUGUGUAAAAGAGCUGAAGUAAAGUUGGUGGGUUUUUUUUUG